rnacentral:rRNA from 1 species
GUGGCGAACGGGUGAGUAAUGCAUCGGAACGUGCCCAGUCGUGGGGGAUAACUGCUCGAAAGAGCAGCUAAUACCGCAUACGACCUGAGGGUGAAAGCGGGGGACCGUAAGGCCUCGCGCGAUUGGAGCGGCCGAUGUCAGAUUAGCUAGUUGGUGGGGUAAAGGCCUACCAAGGCAACGAUCUGUAGUUGGUCUGAGAGGACGACCAGCCACACUGGGACUGAGACACGGCCCAGACUCCUACGGGAGGCAGCAGUGGGGAAUUUUGGACAAUGGGCGCAAGCCUGAUCCAGCAAUGCCGCGUGCAGGAAGAAGGCCUUCGGGUUGUAAACUG